ACGGAAGCAAGCAAACGAGCCAGCCGGCUGGAGAUGGUCCCGGACCGACUGUCCACCACCAUGAGCCGGGCUGCUCUCAGCCUGCCCCAGGCAGCCGGUCUAAUAUGAUGCGGGGAGGACGGUAGGAGUGUUUUGUCAACAUGUGAAGCGGCUUGAAGGACGACGGACAGCGGCUCACUGGACGAUCUCAUCCCGCUGAAAGCUCUUCAGAGAGGGGGCAGCCACCCUCCUCACACCCCUCAUCACUUUCUCCAUGGCGUCCCCGCAACAGUCAAGGAUUCAGUCGUACCUGGAAAAGAACAAAAUUGGACCUUUAUUUGAGGAGUUGAUGACCAAACUGAUAAGUGAGACUCCCGACCAUCCGAUUCCUUUCCUCAUUGAUCACCUGCAGACCAAACAAGACAGUCCAGGAAAGAUGCACAGAGCUCUCUCAGGCUCUGCUGCACUUUGGGCUCAGAGCUCCCCGGAAAGCAAAAACACUCGAAGGGAGCCGAGCCACAGCGAGAAACCGUGGCAGAUUCACCCCAAGAAACCCAAGAAGUCCAAAAGCGACCUGGCUGUGUCGAGUCUGUCGCCACCAUCACCAGAAUCCAAGUCCUUGCCUCAGUGCCCAUCCUGGGACUGGAGGGACAGCCGCGACUUUGACGAGCUCAACCACAUUUUGCUGGAGAGCAAGAAACUGGGCCGCGCCCUGGAGAGCCUUUCUCGCAGUAUCGCCGUCUCUGAUGACCUGGACCAGAACCUGGGAGGCUUCAACUCUGUGCUGCGCCCCCGAGUGGUGGGGGAGUGGAUCGGCCGCGCAGAUGAGGACUCCGACCCGUUGGCCGCGGAGAUGCUGCACCCGCCCGUCCCUCGCAGCAAAAACGACAUCUGUUGGAGCGGAGAUGGCCUUCCCAUCAACAGCCUAAAGAUGAAGGGCAAGAGCAAAGGGCUAAAAGAGCAGCAGCAGCACCACAAGAAGCUCCUGGCCGCCAUGUUGUCUCAGGACUCGUUCGAUUCGCUGCACAGUCCCACGCCUUCUAUCGCCGAGGAGGAGAUGGAGGACGAGGACGAGGCUACGGAGCUUUUGGAGGACCUGGAUGACCUGCGGAUGGAAGGUGUGACCGGCUUGGCACCGUCGGGUUGUAAGUUCAGUCAGGGACGCAGCUCUUAUCACGCCGAACCUCAGGCCAAAGUGACGCUGAACAUCUGCUCUCGAUGCGCCAGGUUGCAGGGAGACAGUCUGCCAGACAGCAGGUCCGCAUCCGAACAAGCCGUACCUGACAUCUCAUCCCCAUUGCCUGGGGUCGAUAUGGCGGCGGCUGCGGGACGGUUGCAACAGGAAUGCGAGGCCACGUCUCAAGUGUCGGGCUCUCGUCAGCCUGUCUGGGAGGCUGAUCUCAAGGCUGUGAGGCGUGGGACCUCCAUGAGCCUGCUGCUGGGAGACCCCCUCUUUUCCAAAGAGCUGGAGAACAUGGGCAAGCAGCUGGCUGAGGUUGAGAAGGACUUGGCCAAGCUGGCAGAAGUAGGAAAGAUGACCACUCGCAGCUCCAGUAACCCACAUAGCAGUCUCCUUCACAGAACCCUCCCCGACACGCUCCCUCUUUCCAGCCUGUCCUCCAGGCCACAGUCGCCGGCCAGCGGCCUCUCAAGCAAGCCCUGCGGCGUAGGCCUCCCCCUGCUCAGCCCCAAGUCCACCUCCUUGGUCUUCGGUCGGACUCUCAGCAACCCGGGGAGCAGGACUCAAACCCCGAGAACCCCCAGCAGCAGGCCUCUCACCCCAAAUAGUUUGCUGACACGCUCCAGCUUCAACCAGGGGCCUCAUAAAGAGGUGAGCUUCAGGAGGUCGCGGAGCCGACCUGUGACACCCACGAGCCAGCCCAUGCUUCCCCGAAAGCUGCUCACACCUCCAGGACUCAGCACCACAGACAGCCUGGGAGCCAGCCUGAGGGCGUAUUUGUCUGAGGAUGAGUUCUACCAGCAGUUGCAGGCCAUCCGGCAGCCUUGGCAUAUUCCCAGUGACACUGACAGCGACAUCAUGGAGCCUCCUGAGCAGGACAAAAGUGGUGCCCGAGAUGCCAGCCAGAGAUCAGUCUUUUCAGGCCUAUAAAGACCAAGACCAGCGUUAUUGAUCCAAUCCAACCAACUUAUUAUGCAAGCCGCUGGACAUUUUAAAUGUGAGACAUUAUUUUUAUAAUUCCUAUGAAUGAAACAAAGUUGUAUACUUUUUUUCCACCAAUAUUCAUAGACAACGUACUGUUACUAUGUGAUACAAUGACUAUUUUUCUUUGCUCUUUAGCAUGCUAUGAGUGCAUUUUGUUGUGACAACCUCUUUUCAGUCACAUUUUGACAGCAGGUGCAAUUUGUUGCUGAUCCGAACAAGCUAACGCCCCCCCCUUAGUUCACACUCCACACCAACAGGGGGCACUCCAGUGUUGGCGAGCAUCUUUGUCAUCCGGGAGAUGCUUGGUACUCUCUGCGGCUGAGCAAAUAAAGAUCCUACUGCCACAAUUUUUUAGAAUUUACGCACCAUCUCCUAGAUGUGGUGGGUCACUGCCCCUACUGGUCUUGUCGGCUCAGUCUGCUCAUAGACACCCUGACGACACACUCCAGCACUCCACUGAUCCAUCCACUUGAGUUUUUUUGCCGUGGAUGUCCCCGUGACUCCGUCUUCGAGGAUGCGGUCAACAACGUUGUCAAAUGUCCAGUGAGUGAUGUGUGAGAUGCUAAAAACCUCACAGAGCAUGUGGAUUCAUAUCCAUAUUUCACCACGUCAUGCGAGUGGGAUGUGGUUUUCAAAGGUUAAAGAGACAAGCUGAUGACAUUCACAUAAUAAAAUCCCAAUGGUGCCUUUUAAUAGCCCUAAUCUCCCCAUAAAUGGUUUAUUAUCUAGAAAAAAAGGUCAAAUAUCUUAGCAGAAUGAUUUUCAAGCUUCACAUUCCACUUUAGCAGUACACCCUGAUCCCAUAGGCUCCACAUGCACAAAUCAGCGGCCUGCUGACUGUUUAGACCUACACUCUUUUUUUCUCUUGAGUUCAUAUUUCUGCACCGCCUUGCCGUUUAUGUCAAACACACACACAUACGAAAAAAUCAAAGCAUAUGCAGACUUGGAACAAGGCUGAGCCGUUUGAAAGAUGCAGACUU